AACCUCCGCAAUGUGAGAAAUCGCGACGGGGGGAUCCCAAGUGCCAUUCUUAACGGGAUGGCUUUUCAUUAGUGUAAAGAGCUUUUGGAAUAAGAGCUGGGCAAGACCGGUGCCAGCCGCCGCGGUAACACCGGCAGCUCUAGUGGUAGCAAUUUUUAUUGGGCCUAAAGCGUCCGUAGCCGGUUUAAUAAGUCUCUGGUGAAAUCCUGUAGCUUAACUGUGGGAAUUGCUGGAGAUACUAUUAGACUUGAGACCGGGAGAGGUUAGAGGUACUCCCAGGGUAGAGGUGAAAUUCUGUAAUCCUGGGAGGACCGCCUGUUGCGAAGGCGUCUAACUGGAACGGUUCUGACGGUGAGGGACGAAAGUUAGGGGCGCGAACCGGAUUAGAUACCCGGGUAGUCCUAACUGUAAACGAUGCGGACUUGGUGUUGGGUGGCUUUGAGCUGCUCCAGUGCCGAAGGAAGCUGUUAAGUCCGCCGCCUGGGAAGUACGGUCGCAAGACUGAAACUUAAAGGAAUU
rnacentral:rRNA from 1 species